rnacentral:rRNA from 1 species
AGCAGCCGCGGUAAUACGAAGGGUGCAAGCGUUACUCGGAAUUACUGGGCGUAAAGCGUGCGUAGGUGGUGGUUUAAGUCCGUUGUGAAAGCCCUGGGCUCAACCUGGGAAUUGCAGUGGAUACUGGGUCACUAGAGUGUGGUAGAGGAUAGUGGAAUUUCCGGUGUAGCAGUGAAAUGCGUAGAGAUCGGAAGGAACAUCUGUGGCGAAGGCGACUAUCUGGGCCAACACUGACACUGAGGCACGAAAGCGUGGGGAGCAAACAGGAUUAGAUACCCGAGUAGUCCCUGUCUCUUAUACA